rnacentral:lncRNA from 1 species
AUUCGGGAAUCUUCGGCCGAAGUAUCGAGCGUAAUAAAGGAAAGCGUUCCUAUACGACUCAAUUGAAUCGUAUAAGAAGGAAUAAUCACAUUAGGGGUUUGACAUAAUAUAUCCAUACCCUAGUAAUGUGAUUGAGAGUAUUGUUUUAGAGAAGGAUUAAAUUACAUUGUAAUUCCAACUGAAUAGGUUCUCCGAAUAAACUUUUACAUUAGCUUGGGUAGCUAUGACAUAUGGUUAGAUGUCACUCAUAGCUUGUGAGUUCUUCUAGAUGAUUAAAUGUAGUCGUCAAAAGAAGAAAGGUGAAUUAAAAUGAAGUUUUAAUUCACUAAGUGAUUGAAUUAAAUAUAAUCAAUUGGAUUGAUGCCAAUCACCUCACUGCCUUGCUAAUUAAUUAGAACCUAAAAGAUGUUCACCAAUACACUAUUGUAGUGAGUAACUAAUGGAUGAUGGAAAUAAUUAAUUGGAUUAAUUAAGUGUUGUGAUUAAUUUAAAAAGUCUAAAGAAAUCAUAAAAAGCAAUAAAGAUCGUUUUUGGGCUUAAAGAAACGUUCGGGUUUAAUUGGGCCCAUUGGGCUUUUAUUCAAGCAUUGGAUGACUUGAAAUAAAUGAAAGCCCAAAGCCCAAACAACACAAAGAGGGCCGGCCAUUUUAGGUGUGGAAAGGGUGAGAUAUUUAGUCAAGUUGUUGGCUAGGUUUCUUAUGUCUAUAUAAGGAACUUUAUAGUGAUAUUGUUCAUUAGGGUUUUUGUGUGGUUAAAAACAACAAAGAGGCAAAAGAAUAUCUCUCCAAUAACUACACAAAGGCCGGCCACCUUGGGGUGAUUUUACUAACAUAUCUUUCACCCUUUGGUUAUUCCUUCAUCCUUCUCACUACUCUAGUGGGUGAGGAUCUUUAGAGGUUUCCUACUUUGGAAACUUGAAGAGAACCUAGGAGCACUCAUUCUUCAAAGUGGAGGAGGCAAGGAGGGAAGCUAGGCUCAAGGAGUUCAAGGAACAAAGGGCUUGGAGGUGGUCCAUCCUUGGUCUCAAGUCUAGAUCAAGAGGUAUAAGACUAAACCUUCACUUUGUUCUUUUCUCUAAAAUUUUAUUUGAUGCAUUAUAUAUAAACCUAUGAACCUUGAAGGGGAUUUGCAUGACUAUAGCUUUGUUAAUUUGUUAUAAAUGCUUCCGCUGCUUUCGUAUAUUAAAUUUGAUUUGUAUAUGCAUGAUAGUCAUUUAGAAAUCCCAUUCAUGAAUCUCAUAGAUUUCCCUUCAGUUUGCAUGCAGGGAUUUAAUGCUAGAAUCUCAGGGAAUUUCACCUAAUAGUUAUGAACUUAUAUUCACAAGUGAUGGAGGUUGCUAUUCACAAUCGUGUUAAGUGAAUUCUUGGCAAGAGUAUCAUGCUGUCAUAGUUACGAAUGCCUUGUCAAUGCUUAUGAUUUUCACAAAGCUUAAUGAUCUUUGAUUGUAUCUCUAUUAUGUUGUUCAUGUAGGGAACUAUUGAAGAAUAAUUUGGUUGUCGAUGCGUUGUCCAUCCAAUUCAAUGACCUAAGGAAAAUCUAAGGGUUAAUUAGUGCUGUUCACAGUUAAUCUGGGGUGUUGAGGUUCAUGGUUUACUAGAAAAUUGCAAGUGUGUCAUGUGUGGAGAAGAACCCUCUAGCUAGCUAAUCACCCAUAUUUUCCCCCAAAUUCGUGCUAAAUUUGCUUAAUUUUUUAAUUUACUUGUCUUUACUUUAAAUUCGUCAAAAACCAAAUCCCUUUUACUUUGUUGUGUCAAGUUAGUUAGAAUAUGUCCAAUUUGUGUUUUUAAGUGUUUUGAGUCAAGUUAAAAUCAAUUUUCGUCCAAUUCACCCUCCAGUGUCUAGUUUGAGUCUAUUUGAUUGUUUUGUGCUAUUUUUAGUCUUUUUAGUUUGUUUUGAGUUCUUUGAGUCUAGUUAAGUGUUUUCAAGCCUAGUUUAGUGUUUUUGAGUCAAUUUAAGUAGAUUAGUGAUCCCUCCUAAUCCUCGGCCUAGAACGAUCCCUACUUAUAUCUUUACUACAAUUGUCAAUAAGAGGGUUUAAUUUGAGUGCUAGUUCAAUUUCCCAUCACUUGACACACAAAUUAAACCCUAUUAAACAUGUAAUUGAAGUAUUAAUCAAGUAGGGAUUGUUCUAGACCAGGGAUUAACUAGGGAUGCUAAUCAACACAAAUAAGAUUCAAAAACACUAAACUAGACUGUAUAAACUUAAAACUGACUUAAAUGACUCAAAACAGCAACAAACAAUAAAAAAGACUCAAUUCUAGACCUAACAAGUGAUUUUGACGAAAAUAAACUUAACUUGCCUCAAAAGAUUAAAAGAAAACAGAUUAUGACUCAACUAACAAGACUUAAUGAAAGGGGGAUUGUUUUUGACGAAUUUAAAACUUAAAACAGAAACUUUGCAUAAAACACUUUAUAAAAAACGAAUUUGGUGAAUUGAAAAGGGUGGAAGCCUAGUUAGAGGGUCCUUCUCCACACAUGACAUAUGCAUACAAACCAAUUUCUAGUUAUUAUUCUUUUAGAUUAUGAAUGACAACACCCCAAGUUAACCGUGAUAGCACAAAUUAACCAUCAGAUUUUCCUUAAUUCAUUGAAUUGGAUGGAAUACGCAUCGCAACCAAAUUAUUCUUAUCAAGUUCCCUAACUAUGAAAAGGAUGAUAGAAAGACAUAUCAAAGGUCAUUAAGUUCUUUGAAAACCAUAAGCAUUGACGAAGCAUUCGUAACUAUGAAAAGCAUGAUAUCCUGCCAAGGAUUUACUUAGCACAAUCAUGACUAGUGACUUCCACUACUUGUGAAUAUAAGUUUAUAACGAUUAGGUGAAACUCCCUUAUACUCUAGCAUCAAAUUCAUACAUGCGAAUUAAGUGUCGAUCCUCAAUCUACAUACAUAAAUAAGUUUUAAUAACUCAGAUAAGGAAAUCACAUUCAAGACUUAAGAAACAAUAACUAGAUGUAAUCAAUUCAUAUAAAACUUAUAAUCAGGGCUUCCAAUUCACCUCCAACUAUAAAGAAAUUAGUUCCUCAUGUUCGCAAUUAAACAAAGACAAUUAAAUUUAAACAUUGAAAACAAAGAUAGAAUACACCUAGAAAUGCUCCAACAAUCCAACAUCUUGUAUGGCAAGCACGGCUCCAGGUGGCUCCUUCUUCUCCUUCCUUGCACAGAUGCAGCACUAAAGGGAUGUAUGUAUAUGAGUGUGUAUGGUGCGAAAUUAUGGUGAAUGGUGGGUGGUUUCUGAAUGCUGCGGCACUUUAUAUUUAUAGGGAGAGUGUAAGGCACGGCUAGGGUGAGUAGAAGGAGAAUUAGGACUCCAAAUCAUCAAGGAAUAAGGACUAUUCAAUUUUGGAUUCC